rfam:Triticum aestivum genome assembly, contig: Triticum_aestivum_CS42_TGACv1_scaffold_485713_6AS
AUUAUACUCCCUCCAUUUCGAAUUAUUUGUCUUAGAUUUGUUUAGAUAUGGAGGUAUCUAGUAUUAAAAUGAGUCUAGAUACAUCCGUAUCUAGACAAAUCCAAGACAAGUAAUUCGGAACGGAGGGAGUAAUAA